rnacentral:misc_RNA from 1 species
UCGUCUGUAGCGCCGGUGGCCUUAAUUCUUUUUGUUUGUGUGUUUGUGCUUAUCACGCACCCCCCUCUGCACUCUCCCCCCUCCCCCUGCACGGCUUGGCAUCGAGGCUUUUGUUCGCCUUGCCUGUGAGAUCACCCAAGAGGGGCGCACUGUACAUACCUAUCGUCUUCCGCAGCCUCCCGCUCCUGCCUCCUCCGCUCUUUGCGAAAAACGGAGACGUGCCCGGCAUGCUUUCUUCUGCAAAUGCAACCGCUGCCGGCAACGGGUACAGAUCAUCAAGUGCAGCAGACCUGGGUUGGCCAAGUGCGGGUGGGCUGAGAAGCGGUGGAGAGGCGAAGGCUUCGAUAGCGCCUCACUCUGUGCCCGCGGGUGUGACACCACCGCUUCGUUACGGAGGUGAUCCGGUGGCUGCAACGACAGCGGUGCCGCCUGCCGGACAUGUGACGUUCCCCGCUGCAGACCUUGUGGACAGGAGCGCCUUUCUGUUCGGGCUUCUUCAGUCCGAACACUUGGUGCAUGAUGUGCACGAUGCCAUCGUUGCUCUCAACAACGUGGCUGCUGACAAGACCGACGACGGCGAUGCCAAGAGCCGCACCGCAGGCGGCCAGAGCAGUAGCGAGGGGGCCCUUUCGGCUGUGUUCUACUUUAUUGCCCGCCCCCCCUGCCCCGAUAUGCCGUGGCGCCCCAUCUACACCAGUGCUGUACUGCUGUGUGUAUUUUCAACCGUGGAGGCGGCGCAGCGGGCGAUUGCCCGCGUCGACCGAGUAGUGCUGCACACAAUGCAGACGGAAGUGCGGGGCUCUGCAUCGACGGCCUCGACGGCACCAAUAUCGUCGCCGUACCUCGUCCUCCGCCCGGCCAGGGAGUUUGUGCUGGGGCCGGAGAAUACGGACACAGCGUUGCUCACCUACCUCACAACGCCACGACUCGUGGACUUGCUGCUGCGUCGUCAGCGGAUGCAGAAACCGAACGACAGGGUCGCAGAUGACGCGGAGCAACGCAGCGCCAUGGAGUCGUACGCUCGAGCGAACUUGCCGCCGGCGUAUCUGUGCGGCUCUGCCGCGCGUCUGUACGCUGCCAUUCUGAGCCCGCAGAGUCCCUACGCGGUCGACUGGGCGGCGGCGCGCGUGGCGAUGGCUCGUGGGGACGGCAUCGUGGUGCCGGAAAUGAGCGUGGUAGAGCCAUGGGCUUGCGGUGGGGCUGGUGAGUACGACCGUGAUAAAGGCGCUACCCCCGCCGCAGCCGGCUCGCCGCCCGCCGACAGAUGUUCACCACCGUUGUUGCAGGGCGCAGACAUUGAGCGGCGCCGGCGCGCGAGCGUGUCGGGCGCCGCCCACUACGUUCCAGUGACACUGCAGGAGGAGGAGUAUUAUCGCCGAUACGGUGUUGGGUCGCCGAGUCGCACGGCUAUCAGCCGUGCUCGUUGCGGCAGUGUGGAGGGGCUGACGGAGCUGAUGCCCUCUCGCGGCUCUCUCUAUCGUGGCGCACAGGGUGUUCUGCGCGGCGUUUCCUGGUUCUGGCGCCGCGCCUACGAGAGCCUCAGCGGCAAGGAGGCGGCGCUGAUCAGCGGCCCCAGUAGUCUGCCAGUGGCGCCGACGGUUCCCAGUGCGCCGCCGCAAGCGUCUGCUGGAGCGAUAGGCACCUCCGAUCAAGUGCCGUUUCCUGCGUCCCCGACCGCGCUAAGCGAGGGGCGGAACUUCUACGAGCCCCCGCGAGCGCGGCACCGCGCGGAGGGUCGCGGGCCCGACGGUGUUCACGGCACCCGUGGAGGCGGUGGCCAGCCGAUCAUGAUUCCCCGCUACAACGCGGUCGGGUCUGCGCUGUCGUGGAUGCCGGGGUUUCACUAUGUCGCGCCGCUCUUCGUCACGGGCGUCUUUCCGCUGGGCGGCACCGCGCCACCGCCGCCGCAUCGCCGUCGUAUGCGUGAGGAGGAGUGUGGUGACCUGGAGAGCUCUGCGUGGAGCGGGAAAGAGGCACAGUUGUAUGGCAUCGCGUCAGCGGAUGCGUGGCGCCGCGAUGGCGGCCAAGUUCCGUCCUAUUCCUCGCUUAACCACGCGCCGAUUCCAGAGCCGUUCUCGGACAGCGCAGCCUGUGGUGCCCCGCUGCGGCGCUCUGAGGUGUCGACGGUUCCUCAGAGGGCCGGCUUGCCUCCAGUAUCGUGGAGUUUGCCGGCGCAGCCGUCUCAGCUGUUUCCUGCUUCGCUGCCGCGGCGCGCAGCAGAUGGACCGCAGGCAGCUCCCGGCACAGCGCCCCAUCCGAACUCACUUCUGCCAACGCCGAUGGUCUCUUCUAUUGCACCCAGCCGGUCCUGCAUGCCUCUUCACGACGGCGAUCUCGCGUCAUCCAGCGAGGACGCAUCGAUGCCGGCGCUUUGGAGGUCCCGUGCCGCUGAAAAACCCGAUGCCAUCCCCGCCUCGUCGCGAGGGAACCGCGCUUUCAUUCGCGUCGAUGGCGUGCACGCAGCUGGUGGAGGCUCUCGCGCCGCUCGCCAUGUGCGCAGCGUUGGUAGUGACACAUCGCUUGCUGCGGGUACACUUGGGGGGAGCUCAGCUACGAAAUCUGGUGGCGCGAGACCCAGUGGCACGCUUGCAGAUGAGCUUCGUGCCUUUGGCAGCGGCCCUGUGGCCGGUCUGCGUGGCCGUACGGAUAACCAGGAUGAGGUGCGCACCACUACCGCGGACACCACUGCUGAUGCUCAGAGAGAAAAGAAAUCUAGCUCCCGCGCAUCGCGCCGCACGGUAGAGUUUAGCCUUCCUGGCGAGACCAAGUAGCCCCCGUUCUGCGACAGUUGUGCAUGUGCAUUUCUAGGUAAAAAGGGGGCAGCGCGGAACCGAAAGGAAGAGGACGCAGAAAGGGAAAAAUAGACAUGUCACGACCGGCCCUUCAGCUGCUGACGUACCAUGGCGUGCUCUCAGCUUUUCUUUUAUUUGUUGAACGGGAUGACAGGCCCGGAUGGAUGUGGGGAGGGCGGGAAGAGAAGGGGGGAGGGAAGGAGGGUGGAAGGGGGCAACACAUCACCUCUGCCUUCCGAAUCGGCACGUCUGCUGCGUUUUCUUCUCACCACUCUCCUCUCCUUCGGUUCUCCAGGUCUCUCUCUCCCUCUCCAGAGUGGCUUGGCUCGGACUAAUGGCGUACGAUUAGAUCUUC